rnacentral:rRNA from 1 species
CAGUCGCCGCGGUAAUACGUAGGGUCCGAGCGUUGUCCGGAAUUACUGGGCGUAAAGAGCUCGUAGGUGGUUUGUCGCGUUGUUCGUGAAAACUCACAACUCAAUUGUGGGCGUGCGGGCGAUACGGGCAGACUGGAGUACUGCAGGGGAGACUGGAAUUCCUGGUGUAGCGGUGGAAUGCGCAGAUAUCAGGAGGAACACCGGUGGCGAAGGCGGGUCUCUGGGCAGUAACUGACGCUGAGGAGCGAAAGCGUGGGGAGCGAACAGGAUUAGAUACCCCCGUAGUCCCUGUCUCUUAUAC